rnacentral:rRNA from 1 species
UUGGCUCAGGAUGAACGCUGGCGGCGUGCCUAACACAUGCAAGUCGAACGGAGUAUAUGCGCUGAUGAUCGAAGUGCUUGCAUAGAGAGAAUCUUGUAUAUACUUAGUGGCGGACGGGUGAGUAACGUGUGGAUAACCUGGUCCAUCCAGGGGGAUAGCAGCUGGAAACGGCUGGUAAUACCGCAUAAGCGCACAGCAGGGCAUCCUGCGGUGUGAAAAGAUUUAUCGGGAUGGAAUGGAUCCGCAUCUGAUUAGCCAGUCGGCGGGGUAACGGCCCACCGAAGCGACGAUCAGUAGCCGGCCUGAGAGGGCGGACGGCCACAUUGGGACUGAGACACGGCCCAGACUCCUACGGGAGGCAGCAGUGGGGAAUA